rnacentral:rRNA from 1 species
CCUACGGGAGGCAGCAGUGAGGAAUAUUGGACAAUGGGCGCAAGCCUGAUCCAGCCAUGCCGCGUGCAGGAUGACGGUCCUAUGGAUUGUAAACUGCUUUUAUACAGGAAGAAACACCUCUACGUGUAGAGACUUGACGGUACUGUAAGAAUAAGGAUCGGCUAACUCCGUGCCAGCAGCCGCGGUAAUACGGAGGAUCCAAGCGUUAUCCGGAAUCAUUGGGUUUAAAGGGUCCGUAGGCGGUUUAGUAAGUCAGUGGUGAAAGCCCAUCGCUCAACGGUGGAACGGCCAUUGAUACUGCUAGACUUGAAUUAUUAGGAAGUAACUAGAAUAUGUAGUGUAGCGGUGAAAUGCUUAGAGAUUACAUGGAAUACCAAUUGCGAAGGCAGGUUACUACUAAUUGAUUGACGCUGAUGGACGAAAGCGUGGGUAGCGAACAGGAUUAGAUACCCUGGUAGUCCACGCCGUAAACGAUGGAUACUAGCUGUUGGGCGCAAGUUCAGUGGCUAAGCGAAAGUGAUAAGUAUCCCACCGNGGUAAGGUACGACGACGAGUUAGUUAACGUUACAANAGAGUUAGAGGCGNGAGAGNGCGACGGACGACGACGAGGGAGGAGG